ACUCCUACGGGAGGCAGCAGUGGGGAAUAUUGGACAAUGGGGGAAACCCUGAUCCAGCAAUGCCGCGUGUGUGAAGAAGGCCUGAGGGUUGUAAAGCACUUUCAGUGGGGAGGAACGGUUACUGUUUAAGAGAUAGUAGCUUUGACGUUACCCACAGAAGCAGCACCGGCUAACUCCGUGCCAGCAGCCGCGGUAAUACGGAGGGUGCAAGCGUUAAUCGGAAUUACUGGGCGUAAAGGGCGCGUAGGUUGUUUAGUAAGUUGGCUGUGAAAGCCCCGGGCUUAACCUGGGAAUGCCAGUCAAAACUGCCAAAACUAGAGUACAGUAGAGGGUGGUGGAAUUUCCGGUGUAGCGGUGAAAUGCGAUAGAGAUCGGAAGGAACACCAGUGGCGAAGGCGGCCACCUGGACUGAUACUGACACUGAGGCGCGAAAGCGUGGGUAGCGAACAGGAUUAGAUACCCUGGUAGGUCAGU
rnacentral:rRNA from 1 species